rnacentral:rRNA from 1 species
UACGUAGGGGGCAAGCGUUAUCCGGAUUCACUGGGUGUAAAGGGAGCGUAGACGGCGAUGCAAGUCUGAAGUGAAAGGCGGGGGCCCAACCCCCGGACUGCUUUGGAAACUGUAUGGCUGGAGUGCAGGAGAGGUAAGUGGAAUUCCUAGUGUAGCGGUGAAAUGCGUAGAUAUUAGGAGGAACACCAGUGGCGAAGGCGGCUUACUGGACUGUAACUGACGUUGAGGCUCGAAAGCGUGGGGAGCAAACAGG